ACGAACGCUGGCGGCGUGCUUAACACAUGCAAGUCGAACGAUGAAGAGGAGCUUGCUCCUCGGAUUAGUGGCGAACGGGUGAGUAACACGUGAGUAACCUGCCCUUGACUCUGGGAUAAGCACUGGAAACGGUGUCUAAUACCGGAUACGAGCUUCAGCCGCAUGGCUAGGAGCUGGAAAGAAUUUUGGUCAAGGAUGGACUCGCGGCCUAUCAGCUAGUUGGUGAGGUAACGGCCCACCAAGGCGACGACGGGUAGCCG
rnacentral:rRNA from 1 species